rnacentral:rRNA from 1 species
GACGGAGGAUGCAAGCGUUAUCCGGAAUUAUUGGGCGUAAAGCGUCCGUAGGUGGUUAUGUAAGUCUGUUGUUAAAGCCCGCAGCUCAACUGCGGAUUGGCAGUGGAAACUACAUGACUUGAGUGUGGUAGGGGUAGAGGGAAUUCCUAGUGUAGCGGUGAAAUGCGUAGAUAUUAGGAAGAACACCAGUGGCGAAGGCGCUCUACUGGGCCAUAACUGACACUGAUGGACGAAAGCUAGGGGAGCGAAAGGG